rnacentral:rRNA from 1 species
GAUGAACGCUGGCGGCGUGCCUAAUACAUGCAAGUCGAGCGAACAGACGAGGAGCUUGCUCCUCUGACGUUAGCGGCGGACGGGUGAGUAACACGUGGAUAACCUACCUAUAAGACUGGGAUAACUUCGGGAAACCGGAGCUAAUACCGGAUAAUAUAUUGAACCGCAUGGUUCAAUAGUGAAAGACGGUUUUGCUGUCACUUAUAGAUGGAUCCGCGCCGCAUUAGCUAGUUGGUAAGGUAACGGCUUACCAAGGCGACGAUGCGUAGCCGACCUGAGAGGGCGAGCGCCCACACUGGACCUGAGACACGGUCCAGACUCCUAGGGGAGGCAGCAGUGGGGAAUUUUCGACAAGGGGAGAAAGCCUGAGGGAGCAACGCCGCGUGUGUGAAGAAGGUUUUCGGGUUGUAAAGCUCUUUUGUGAGGAAAGAAAAAUUGGGCAAGAAUAUAGGCGGGUUUUGACGGUACCGAACGAAAAAGCACCGGCUAACUACGUG